rnacentral:rRNA from 1 species
CCUACGGGAGGCUGCAGUGGGGAAUAUUGGGCAAUGGGCGCAAGCCUGACCCAGCAACGCCGCGUGGAGGAAGAAGGCUUUCGGGUUGUAAACUUCUUUUCUGAGGGACGAAGAUAGUGACGGUACCUCAGGAAUAAGCCACGGCUAACUACGUGCCAGCAGCCGCGGUAAUACGUAGGUGGCAAGCGUUAUCCGGAUUUAUUGGGUGUAAGGGGCGUGUAGGCGGGGAAGCAAGUCAGAUGUGAAACCUCAGGGCUCAACCCUGAGCCUGCAUUUGAAACUGGUUUGCUGGAGUGCUGGAGAGGCAAUCGGAAUUCCGGGUGUAGCGGUGAAAUGCGUAGAUAUACGGAGGAACACCAGUGGCGAAGGCGGAUUGCUGGACAGUAACUGACGCUGAGGCGCGAAAGCGUGGGGAGCAAACAGGAUUAGAUACCCUAGUAGUC